rnacentral:rRNA from 1 species
UACGUAGGGUGCGAGCGUUGUCCGGAAUUACUGGGCGUAAAGAGCUCGUAGGUGGUUUGUCGCGUUGUCCGUGAAAACUCACAGCUUAACUGUGGGCGUGCGGGCGAUACGGGCAGACUGGAGUACUGCAGGGGAGACUGGAAUUCCUGGUGUAGCGGUGAAAUGCACAGAUAUCAGGAGGAACACCGGUGGCGAAGGCGGGUCUCUGGGCCGAUACUGACGCUGAGGAGCGAAAGCGUGGGGAGCGAACAGG